rnacentral:lncRNA from 10 species
GGCGCGGCGUUGGGGGCGUAGGGGGCGCAGGGAGCCGGGGCUCCCGGGUUGCAAGCUGCCGGCGGGCUGCCGGGCAGGUGGAGCGCGGGACGGCCCGGUGCGAGCCCCGCGGCCCCUCGGCGCGCCCAGGCCCGGAUCUCGGCCUGCGCCGUGCCGGGGACCAGAGGCGCCUGCGGAAACGCGGCGGCCGGGGAAGGAGGCACCGGCAGGGGCCCCGUGCCGCGCGGCCCCGGGCGCCCUGGAGAAUCUGGCCUCCUGGGCUGCCUGCCGGAACGCCUAGAGAAAGAUGCUUUGAAGGAGGGAAGCAGGGAGGAAAGGAAGACUUCAUAGAAAGCGACCGCCGAUCCGAAAGCUGCCUCUCCCAGCCCUCCUUCCACUCUCCGAGACCCAGUAUUUCAAUUUUCUGCUAAGCAUUAAAACAAUCUCCCCUUACUCCUCCUCUACAUAGCACAUUUUUUUAAACCAAAGAAACACCCCAAUGCCCAACAAUAAAGAGGAAUUAUUACAAUCAAGAGGAAUUGUUGCAAUUCUUCAUGCCUGCCUCUGUGCUAAGAGUGUAAGACGGCUAUCCUAAAUCCUCAUUAUCUACUUAGGCCGCCUUGCCUGAGCCCCCUCUGUCUAUUAUGAAGAAAGCUUCCAAGAGAUCCAAUCACAGAGAAAAAAUAAAUUUUCUAAUGGCUGCAGGGAAACCAGUUAAUUUAAGCUUGCCCCAGUCCUCAAAGUGAUGUUAUUCUCUUGGUGGUGGUGGUGGUGGUGGUGGUGUUAAAGAUAUCUCUUAAGGACAUAUGACUGGUAGAAUUGCCAACUGUCCCAGCUAUAGAAGGAACACUUGCAUCAGGAAAACUACCUUAUGUACAAUUAGUGCCAAAUAGUUGGUCCUUCCCUCACUGACCUCCCACUCCUUGGCCCAAGCUCCUGCCACUCCCAGUGGAAGAACUUCAUUAGAUAACUCAGGUAACCGAGGAGCAGUCCCGCUAAAGAUCCUCCAGGUCCACAAAGAUGUGCUAGGCUCCCAAACAGUAUCUCUGGUCAAAGUCAAACUCCCUGGCCUCAGAUCCUGAACACUGCUUUACAGAAAACACCUCCCACCCUCUGGCCUAGCUAAAGUCUCAGGGCUCGGGCAAGCUAGACAGUUGCCUAGGGCAGCCGGCUGUUUAGUGAUUGUUUAUUAUGGGAGUGACUGAGAGCUAGGAGCAGACACUUCCCGGCUUCCCUCAGGCUGCAAAAACCCCAGCGGGGUGUGGAUGAAGGGCAGGGUUAUAACAAGGCAGUAUGAAAUGAUAGAGUGGAAAGUUUCAGACCUCUGUUGUUUCAGAUUUGUUUUAAUAAAGCAGGGAAGGGGCAUGGGUGGGACAUUACUAUACAUUCGUGAAGCCUCUCCCUAUUUCUGACCUGCCAAAGAUGAGACAGCUUUUCCAGAUUUGACUUGAACCCCCUGCACAAUGUAGAGAGGCCUGGGACAGGAAUAAGGAUUCAGUCAUCUUCCAAAUACAGUGACAAUGAUGCAGAUAAAGGCAGUGAUUGAAACCACAUGUGACCCAAAGCUCCCCCCAGCCCAAGUUGCUAAGAACAACAGUUCAAGGCAGGAGGCCUUCUCUUCUGAUCAGGGUGCAGAUUAUC